UCGUGCUAGGCGGGGAGCUAGCGGUGCCCUGUACCCGCAAUCCGCUACAGCGGGGCCGAAGUCCCUCCCGCGGUCCGGCAUGUCGGCUCCUGUCACUCGGCGGAAGCGUUGACGGUCGGGUCCUGUGCGACGGCGCCACGUGAACCCCGUCAGAUCCGGAAGGAAGCAGCGGUAAGCGACCGGCACCGGGCGCCGCAGGGCGACCUGACCCGAGCGGAAGUCGAACGGCGUGGCCGGCGUUCCGUGAUCAACGGAGGGUGCACGA
rnacentral:SRP_RNA from 1 species